GAAAAAGGAUAAUACGCUACACUAAAAAGAACGACUACAACAUCUAUGGUGUAGGUCCCUGCAAAACAUGCUUCCCACAAAAAGGGCAACGCUCUGUUAGCCAGGAAAUCAGCACAAUAAUUGGCUUCACGAAACAUAUGCAUGACCUUAACCUCCCAAUCCCGCCUUGAUAAGCCUUUAAUCCUUCCUAUCAGAGUUUUCACAUGCCCAGGAGGUUCCCUCAAACCCAGCGCAAAAUGAACCACACUCUCAUUAUCACAUUCCACAAUGAUCUUUCGAUUACCCUUGUCCCAAGCAAUCACCAGACCUUCCAGCAGAGCCGAAGCCUCAGCCAUCGUAAUAGAGUAAAUGCCUAAAUUCAACAUGAAUCCACACACCCAAAUACCCAAAUCAUUUCGGAUAAUGCCACCCCUCGAUGUAAGCUCAAAAGCUACCUUUCAAA
rnacentral:misc_RNA from 1 species